CAAGUCGAGCGAACAGACGAGGAGCUUGCUCCUCUAACGUUAGCGGCGGACGGGUGAGUAACACGUGGAUAACCUACCUAUAAGACUGGGAUAACUUCGGGAAACCGGAGCUAAUACCGGAUAAUAUAUUGAACCGCAUGGUUCAAUAGUGAAAGACGGUUUUGCUGUCACUUAUAGAUGGAUCCGCGCCGCAUUAGCUAGUUGGUAAGGUAACGGCUUACCAAGGCAACGAUGCGUAGCCGACCUGAGAGGGUGAUCGGCCACACUGGAACUGAGACACGGUCCAGACUCCUACGGGAGGCAGCAGUAGGGAAUCUUCCGCAAUGGGCGAAAGCCUGACGGAGCAACGCCGCGUGAGUGAUGAAGGUCUUCGGAUCGUAAAACUCUGUUAUUAGGGAAGAACAAAUGUGUAAGUAACUAUGCACGUCUUGACGGUACCUAAUCAGAAAGCCACGGCUAACUACGUGCCAGCAGCCGCGGUAAUACGUAGGUGGCAAGCGUUAUCCGGAAUUAUUGGGCGUAAAGCGCGCGUAGGCGGUUUUUUAAGUCUGAUGUGAAAGCCCACGGCUCAACCGUGGAGGGUCAUUGGAAACUGGAAAACUUGAGUGCGGAAGAGGAAAGUGGAAUUCCAUGUGUAGCGGUGAAAUGCGCAGAGAUAUGGAGGAACACCAGUGGCGAAGGCGACUUUCUGGUCUGUAAC
rnacentral:rRNA from 1 species